rnacentral:misc_RNA from 1 species
UCCGAGUUGACCCCGGCAGUCUUCGAUGAGUCCCCGCCAUAACGCGCUGGCAACAUCGAACGAGGGUUGCGCUCGUUGCGGGACUUAACCCAACAUCUCACGACACGAGCUGACGACAACCAUGCACCACCUGUACACCGCCCUCGCGGACCCCGUAUCUCUACGGCUUUUCCCUACAUGUCAAGCCCAGGUAAGGUUCUUCGCGUUGCCUCGAAUUAAGCAACAUGCUCCGCUGCUUGUGCGGGCCCCCGUCAAUUCCUUUGAGUUUUAGCCUUGCGGCCGUACUCCCAGGCGGGGCACUUAAUGCGUUAGCUACGGCACGGAAACCGUCGAUAGGUCCCCACACCUAGUGCCCAACGUUUACGGCGUGGACUAC